GAUGAACGCUGGCGGCGUGCCUAAUACAUGCCAGUCGAGCGAACGGACGAGAAGCUUGCUUCUCUGAUGUUAGCGGCGGACGGGUGAGUAACACGUGGAUAACCUACCUAUAAGACUGGGAUAACUUCGGGAAACCGGCGCUAAUCCCGGAUAAUAUUUUGAACCGCAUGGUUCAAAAGUGAAAGACGGUCUUGCUGUCACUUAUAGAUGGAUCUGCGCUGCAUUAGCUAGUUGGUAAGGUAACGGCUUACCAAGGCAACGAUGCAUAGCCGACCUGAGAGGGUGAUCGGCCACACUGGAACGGGGACACGGACCUGACGCCUACGGGAGGCAGCAGUAGGGAAUCGUACGCAGUGGGCGAAAGCCUGACGGAGCAACGCGGAGUGAGUGAUGAAGGUCUUCGGAUCGUAAAACUCUGUUAUUAGGGAAGAACAGAUGUGUAAGGAACUGUGCAGAGCGUGACGGUACCUAAUAAGAAAGCCACGGCUAACUACGUG
rnacentral:rRNA from 1 species